rnacentral:rRNA from 1 species
GUGCCAGCAGCCGCGGUAAUACAGAGGUCUCAAGCGUUGUUCGGAAUCACUGGGCGUAAAGGGUGCGUAGGCGGCGGGGAAAGUCAGAUGUGAAAUCCGGAGGCUCAACCUCCGAAUGGCAUCCGAUACUACCUCGCUAGAGAUUUGUAGAGGAGCUUGGAAUUCUCGGUGUAGCAGUGAAAUGCGUAGAUAUCGAGAAGAACGCUCGCAGCGAAGGCGAAGCUCUGGGCAAAUUCUGACGCUGAUGCACGAAGGCUAGGGGAGCAAACGGGAUUAGAUACCCCGGUAGUCC